rnacentral:pre_miRNA from 1 species
GGGACACCCCUGUGGAGCAGUACUUGCUUUAGUGGGGCUUUGGUGCUCACUGAGACUGCCCCUUGAGUGCGUCGCU